GCGGUGUUUCACGACGAAGUGGAGAUCGAGGACUUCCAAUAUGACGAGGACUCCGAGACGUACUUCUACCCCUGCCCGUGUGGGGAUAACUUCUGCAUCACCAAGGAAGAUUUGGAGAAUGGGGAAGACGUGGCAACGUGCCCUAGCUGCUCACUCAUUAUUAAAGUGAUUUAUGACAAAGAUCAGUUUACUUGUGGAGAGACAGUCCCAACCCCUUCCACCAACAAAGAACUAGUUAAAUGCUAAAGAAGACUUCAGGACUUCAAAGCCUGAACUUUUGGGAAUGAGCCAAGGUGGAAGAAUCAAAUGCAGAGUCACUGGCUUCUUCAUGUGGACCAUCAUUUUGUAGUUUGCUGUUCAUUAGCGUGUGGAUUCUUUCCAUUGGUGGCUGGGUUCAUCUCCAAUUGAAGAAGCAAGUUCACCACAUGACAUACCCAGGUUUUGUGCUUAGAACUUUAAAAUUGGAAGUGUUCUUAAUUUUCCAUCCACACUUAAAAGAAGAUAAUUUCAAAUCAGUGCUUUCUUUCCCUCAGUUUUGUUGCUUUUAUGACUUACACCUAAUUUCAUUAUCUGACAACAGCAUUAUCUACCUUAAAGUCAUUAAGAUGCUUUAAUUUAAAAAAGGGAUUUUAUGUUUUAGUUGGUCAUUAAGAUUAUUAAAACUAGCCAUUUCUUUAAUUUCACAUCAUCUUUGCUGUUCUAAACUGAAGGAAAUUAGUUGCCUCUUGUCAGUCAGGAUUGCACCUUCAGUUGGCCAUGCCAGUCUUCCAGAGCUAGCAGUUAGUCAAAUGUUUAUGUUCUGUUAAGCAUGCCAUUUCCGUUAUACAACACCUGUUUUUGCUGAAGAUGAAUUUGAAAAUGAGAUGCCUCUUCUAGUUAAAUAUGCCCUUGAGUGGAGAUCCCCAUCCUGACUCAGUGGAAAUGAAUCUGGCUAGUAUCCACAAGGAUGCAGGUUCAAUCCCUGGCCUCUAUCACUGGGUUAAGAAUCCGUUGUUGCCUUGAGCUGUUGUGUAGGUCACAGACACGGCUUGGAUCUGGCAUUGCUGUGGCUGUGGUAUAGGCCAGCGCCUACAGCUCCGAUUCAGCCCCUAGCCUGGGAACCUCCAUAUGCCGAGGGUGCAGCCGUAAAAAAAAAAAAAAAUAUGCCUUGAGGCUCAUCUGAUAAACUUCUAUAAGCUGCAACCACAUCAGAGAUUCACUCUUUGCAGAGAAAUUUUGCCCUGGAGAAAAGCAUAUAAAGAUAAGCUAUCAGUCUUCCUUUGCUACAGUCCUGAUAGUAGCAAGAAAUAGAAUCACUCAUAUAGAAAGUCCAGAAUUCCCUUUAUAUACACACCUUUGCUAUGUGUAUAUAAAGUUAAACAAACCAAUGUCUGGCAGGUUGUUUGGGGAAUGGCUCCUGCAGUUAGAAAAAUAGCUUGCCAAAAUGUGAACAUUUUGUUACUAACUGAUAAAUGUGCUGAACACACUCUUUGAGGGUCUAAAUUAAAACAGGCAAGUGUUUUUUUUCUCCCUGCUAGCAGCAUAGCUAUGUGGAGCCAUUAGGCUGAGACAUAAUUAACCACCGAAAAUUGAAUGCCAGGACUGCUUGGUAUAUUAUAUGAACUAUUAUAUGGCACAUGCUUCAUGUUAGGAGAAACCCCAUCCCCAUUUGAGACACUGAUGCCCCAGGGGUAAUCCACAGUUGUUUGAAAGCAGUGACGGCUCAGGUGAACAGAGCAGGGUGUGUGUUGACCCUUGGGGAUGAGCUGCAAUGAGAAACUGAGGUUUUGUAGAUACCAAUAACUGAUGAUGAAUUUCAGGCAAUAACAGACAUCCUUGGUGUCAUAGUCUGCUAGAGCACAGAAGAGCAGGAAGAAGUUCCCUAAGUCCAGACGUCCCAGGAGAAAAGAAGCAAAUGGUACUGGCGAUGAAUAAACUGUGAUAAUGAGAACAAUUUUGUUUCCAAAGCAAGUGAAUCACUAAAUCUGUUAACCACAAAAACACAUAUCAGGAUUUAAUGCUAUGUUAAACAGAAGGUAAAACCAGGUCUUGAAGGUCUGACUAGCAUUCUUUGUGGUGUAUGCCUUGUUUAGCUUAACAGACAUUUCAGAGCCUCUGAGAACUGAUGGUAAUCCAGGCUUUGUCUCUUGCUAGCUUUGUGAUCUUUGGCAAGGCUAGUGGAUUCCUCAUCUGUACAAAUAGGAGACUGGUUCAGGGGGUUUCAAACUCAGUACUAUAAUUUCAGGCUUUGUAGUUUGCAGAAGCUGGAAUGAUAAUUGAAACCUUUCUAAACUAAACAUGAUCUACAAGGAUCAUGCAUGUACUUUAGUGUAUACAUUCAGAACCCUUAUUUUGUGGAAAGCACCCAACAUUUUUGAUAACUGUACAUAUUAAUUUAUUACCAGAAUAAAUUGUAUUGGCAUGCUAAAUAAAAGAUUAUUUAUUAAAAAAAAAA
rnacentral:lncRNA from 1 species